rnacentral:tRNA from 3 species
UCCGCCGUAGUGUAAUCGGUUAGCACGAGGGCCUUUGAAGCCCUUUGUCCAGGUUCGAGCCCUGGCGGCGGAG